rnacentral:rRNA from 1 species
UACGGAGGGUGCAAGCGUUAUCCGGAAUCACUGGGUUUAAAGGGUGCGUAGGCGGCCGAAUUAGUCAGAGGUGAAAUCCUACAGCUUAACUGUAGAACUGCCUUUGAAACUGUUUGGCUCGAAUAGAGUUGAGGUUAGCGGAAUGUGACAUGUAGCGGUGAAAUGCAUAGAUAUGUCAUAGAACACCAAUUGCGAAGGCAGCUAACUGGGCUUUUAUUGACGCUGAGGCACGAAAGCGUGGGGAGCGAACAGG